rnacentral:antisense_RNA from 1 species
AGCAGUGUUGCCCACGGGGAUGUGGCGAGGCUUCCGGCUCUGCGGCCUGCAGGUAGCGCGCAAGUCCUGCGCGUCCCAGGUGUUCAACUCAAAGCUCCGCUGCGGGAAGAAAGCCUGACCUGACUACUCCCAGACCCAGAACGCAGGAUUAAAAUUCAGAACAGUCUCGGUAAAGGAUGACGCCCGUGCAAACGGCGCGGCACCCACAGGGAAGGUGGCAGCUAGGCCGUUGAGGCAACUGUGGAUAAGCUAUUAGUUUUGCUGGUUUCUUAAAUUCAAGGGCAGAACAAACUAACAUUAAGGCCAACUUUACAAACGUCAGUUGCUUAAAAGCAGCAGUUACAUCACUUUUAUAAACGAAAAGUACUGACACUCGCUAGGAUGUCAGUACAUGUUGGCGAGGAUGCGUGGGAACUGGGACCCUCAUAAACCGCUCGUGGUAAUGUAACGUGCAGCCUUUUUGUAACUACAGCACUGUUUCCACAGAAGUAGCCACACGGGCCUCACCAAUCCAGUCUACCCUUUGGAAGAAAAUACAGCCUGUUUCAAUCCAAUGCUGGAUCUUC